UACAGAGGGGGCAAGCGUUAUUCGGAAUUAUUGGGCGUAAAGGGCGCGUAGGCGCCUGGCAAGUGGAAGGUGAAAUCCCUCGGCUUAACCGAGGAACUGCCUCCCAAACUGCUUGGCUUGAGACCGGGAGAGGUGAGUGGAAUUCCCAGUGUAGCGGUGAAAUGCGUAGAUAUUGGGAGGAACACCAGUGGCGAAGGCGGCUCACUGGACCGGUACUGACGCUGAUGCGCGAAAGCCAGGGGA
rnacentral:rRNA from 1 species